rnacentral:rRNA from 1 species
UACAGAGGGUGCAAGCGUUGUUCGGAAUUACUGGGCGUAAAGCGCGUGUAGGCGGCCUGCUAAGUCUGAUGUGAAAGCCCGAGGCUCACCCUCGGAAGUGCAUUGGAAACUGGCAGACUGGAGUCCCGGAGAGGAGGGUGGAAUUCCUGGUGUAGCGGUGAAAUGCGUAGAUAUCAGGAGGAACACCGGUGGCGAAGGCGGCCCUCUGGACGGUGACUGACGCUGAGACGCGAAAGCGUGGGGAGCAAACAGG